GGAAUUUUCCGCAAUGGGCGCAAGCCUGACGGAGCAACGCCGCGUGGGGGAGGAAUGUCUGUGGAUUGUAAACCCCUUUUCUCAGGGAAGAAGUUCUGACGGUACCUGAGGAAUCAGCAUCGGCUAACUCCGUGCCAGCAGCCGCGGUAAGACGGAGGAUGCAAGCGUUAUCCGGAAUUAUUGGGCGUAAAGCGUCCGUAGGCGGUUUAUCAAGUCUGCCGUUAAAGACUGCAGCUUAACUGUGGGCGAGCGGUGGAAACUGAUUAACUAGAGUACGGUAGGGGUAGAGGGAAUUCCCAGUGUAGCGGUGAAAUGCGUAGAUAUUGGGAAGAACACCAGUGGCGAAGGCGCUCUACUGGGCCGUAACUGACGCUGAGGGACGAAAGCUAGGGGAGCGAAAGGGAUUAUAUACCC
rnacentral:rRNA from 1 species